rnacentral:rRNA from 2 species
UGACUGCGUACCUUUUGUAUAAUGGGUCAGCGACUUAUAUUCUGUAGCAAGGUUAACCGAAUAGGGGAGCCGGAGGGAAACCGAGUCUUAACCGGGCGUUAAGUUGCAGGGUAUAGACCCGAAACCCGGUGAUCUAGCCAUGGGCAGGUUGAAGGUUGGGUAACACUAACUGGAGGACCGAACCGACUAAUGUUGAAAAAUUAGCGGAUGACCUGUGGCUGGGGGUGAAAGGCCAAUCAAACCGGGAGAUAGCUGGUUCUCCCCGAAAGCUAUUUAGGUAGCGCCUCGUGAAUUCAUCUCCGGGGGUAGAGCACUGUUUCGGCUAGGGGGCCAUCCCGGCUUACCAACCCGAUGCAAACUGCGAAUACCGGAGAAUGUUAUCACGGGAGACACACGGCGGGUGCUAACGUCCGUCGUGAAGAGGGAAACAACCCAGACCGCCAGCUAAGGUCCCAAAGUCAUGGUUAAGUGGGAAACGAUGUGGGAAGGCCCAGACAGCCAGGAUGUUGGCUUAGAAGCAGCCAUCAUUUAAAGAAAGCGUAAUAGCUCACUGGUCGAGUCGGCCUGCGCGGAAGAUGUAACGGGGCUAAACCAUGCACCGAAGCUGCGGCAGCGACGCUGAUGCGUUGUUGGGUAGGGGAGCGUUCUGUAAGCCUGCGAAGGUGUGUCGUGAGGCAUGCUGGAGGUAUCAGAAGUGCGAAUGCUGACAUAAGUAACGAUAAAGCGGGUGAAAAGCCCGCUCGCCGGAAGACCAAGGGUUCCUGUCCAACGUUAAUCGGGGCAGGGUGAGUCGACCCCUAAGGCGAGGCCGAAAGGCGUAGUCGAUGGGAAACGGGUUAAUAUUCCCGUACUUGGUGUUACUGCGAAGGGGGGACGGAGAAGGCUAUGUUGGCCGGGCGACGGUUGUCCCGGUUUAAGCGUGUAGGUGUGUGUUCCAGGUAAAUCCGGUUCACUUUAACACUGAGGCGUGAUGACGAGGCACUACGGUGCUGAAGCAACAAAUGCCCUGCUUCCAGGAAAAGCCUCUAAGCAUCAGGUAACAUCAAAUCGUACCCCAAACCGACACAGGUGGUCAGGUAGAGAAUACCAAGGCGCUUGAGAGAACUCGGGUGAAGGAACUAGGCAAAAUGGUGCCGUAACUUCGGGAGAAGGCACGCUGACACGUAGGUGAAGUGAUUUACUCAUGGAGCUGAAGUCAGUCGAAGAUACCAGCUGGCUGCAACUGUUUAUUAAAAACACAGCACUGUGCAAACACGAAAGUGGACGUAUACGGUGUGACGCCUGCCCGGUGCCGGAAGGUUAAUUGAUGGGGUCAGCGCAAGCGAAGCUCCUGAUCGAAGCCCCGGUAAACGGCGGCCGUAACUAUAACGGUCCUAAGGUAGCGAAAUUCCUUGUCGGGUAAGUUCCGACCUGCACGAAUGGCGUAAUGAUGGCCAGGCUGUCUCCACCCGAGACUCAGUGAAAUUGAACUCGCUGUGAAGAUGCAGUGUACCCGCGGCAAGACGGAAAGACCCCGUGAACCUUUACUAUAGCUUGACACUGAACAUUGAGCCUUGAUGUGUAGGAUAGGUGGGAGGCUUUGAAGUGUGGACGCCAGUCUGCAUGGAGCCGGCCUUGAAAUACCACCCUUUAAUGUUUGAUGUUCUAACGUGGACCCGUGAUCCGGGUUGCGGACAGUGUCUGGUGGGUAGUUUGACUGGGGCGGUCUCCUCCUAAAGAGUAACGGAGGAGCACGAAGGUUGGCUAAUCCUGGUCGGACAUCAGGAGGUUAGUGCAAUGGCAUAAGCCAGCUUGACUGCGAGCGUGACGGCGCGAGCAGGUGCGAAAGCAGGUCAUAGUGAUCCGGUGGUUCUGAAUGGAAGGGCCAUCGCUCAACGGAUAAAAGGUACUCCGGGGAUAACAGGCUGAUACCGCCCAAGAGUUCAUAUCGACGGCGGUGUUUGGCACCUCGAUGUCGGCUCAUCACAUCCUGGGGCUGAAGUAGGUCCCAAGGGUAUGGCUGUUCGCCAUUUAAAGUGGUACGCGAGCUGGGUUUAGAACGUCGUGAGACAGUUCGGUCCCUAUCUGCCGUGGGCGCUGGAGAACUGAGGGGGGCUGCUCCUAGUACGAGAGGACCGGAGUGGACGCAUCACUGGUGUUCGGGUUGUCAUGCCAAUGGCACUGCCCGGUAGCUAAAUGCGGAAGAGAUAAGUGCUGAAAGCAUCUAAGCACGAAACUUGCCCCGAGAUGAGUUCU